GACGAACGCUGGCGGCGUGCCUAAUACAUGCAAGUCGAGCGAAGUUUUUCUGGUGCUUGCGCUAGAAAAACUUAGCGGCGAACGGGUGAGUAACACGUAAAGAACCUGCCUCAUAGACUGGGACAACUAUUGGAAACGAUAGCUAAUACCGGAUAACAGUAUUUCUCGCAUGAGAGGUAUUUAAAAGUUGGUUAUGCUAACACUAUGAGAUGGCUUUGCGGUGCAUUAGCUAGUUGGUGGGGUAAAGGCCCACCAAGGCGACGAUGCAUAGCCGACCUGAGGGGGUGAUCGGCCACACUGGGACUGAGACACGGCCCAGACUCCUACGGGAGGCAGCAGUAGGGAAUCUUCCGCAAUGGGCGAAAGCCUGACGGAGCAACGCCGCGUGAGUGAAGAAGGAUUUCGGUUCGUAAAGCUCUGUUGUUAGGGAAGAAUGGAUAUGUAGUAACUAUACAUGUAAGAGACGGUACCUAACCAGAAAGCCACGGCUAACUACGUG
rnacentral:rRNA from 1 species